GAGUUCUGGCUCAGUGGUAGAGCACUCGCUUAGCAUGUGUGAGGCCCUGGGUUUGAUCCUCAGAAUCA
rnacentral:tRNA from 1 species